rnacentral:rRNA from 1 species
UACGGUCAAAUCACGCUGAAACACCGGUUCUCGUACGAUCACCGAAGUUAAGCAGCGUAGAGCCAGAUCAGUACUUAGAUGGGGGACCGCUUGGGAACACCUGGUACUGUAAG